rnacentral:lncRNA from 1 species
CUGAUUCUGGGACUGGGGCAGGAAGUUUAUAAGAAGAACCUGGAACAUCUUUUAGUGCCAGAACGUAGAGAUGCCAGUGGAAGAGGCAGUCGUUGCUGGUUCUCUUUCCUUUCUGAGGACCAGAGGAGCAACUCCCUGUCUCCAUUCAGCUGGGCAAUUUCCUGGAAAGAUCUGCUGACCCCUGGUCUGCAGGAACAGGACGACCCUAUCCAAAAAGAUUCACUACAACAAUUGGUGGGGUCAGGUUCCUCUGAGUCUCAUCAGGGACAUGGAGGCCUGGAAGAUGCCUGGACAAGCUCGGAGUCCUGUUGGGAUGGAGAAAGCAGAGCUGGAUGCCAGGUAGGCCACUGCCAAUGCUCACUACAUUUACUAGGAGACAGAGGCUAAUAUUUAACUUCUGUAUGAAACUGAGCUGAUGGUCUCCAAAGUGGAUCUCUCUACUCACUAAGCAAAUGGCAUUUCUUGAUAUAGCAUUGCAACCUUUCCACACUAAGACAUAACACUUGAAUUCUAUUUUACGUUCAUGAUUUCAUACAAGACCCAUGCUUUCUCAUUCCUAUAUAUAAAUUUUAUAUUCAUCCUUUUAUUUCAUUGUUACUUCUGGGACACAUAAGAUCCAAAAUUUCAGACCAAUUCCCUAUGCCAUAACCUUCAUCCUCACUUUUCCCCUACCUCCUCCAUUUUCCCUUCUCCUGCCUCCAGAUUUUCUUUCAAUUACUUAAAUUUCUUACUUUAAAAGAUCUCCAACUUUGGUGAGAUAAUUUUAAAAAGUAAUAAUCCAGGGGAGAAUUUUUUAACAGUAUAAAUUAUUGAUCUUUUAUUUUUAAUCUGUAGAAAUUUCAUCACUGCCCAUUCAUAAAUUGAGGAUUUUUUCCCCCCAGAACAAGACAGACAUUCUAGAAAAUGGACUAGAAAAGACUUAGUUUAGUUAAAGGAAACAUUAAAACAUCUUUUCAUCUGUUUAGGGUACCAUGAUUGUGAGUACACAGGAUAUAAGGUAAGUGAACUCUAGG